rnacentral:rRNA from 1 species
CAAUAGCGUAUAUUAAAGUUGUUGCAGUUAAAAAGCUCGUAGUUGGAUUUGUGGCGUACGGUGUGUUCCGGGCACUUGUUGUCUGAGUAACCUGCUGUUGCCAUCCUUGGGUGGAACCUGUGUGGCAUUAGGUUGUCGUGCAGGGGAUGCCCAUCAUUUACUGUGAAAAAAUUAGAGUGUUCAAAGCAGGCUUAUGCCGUUGAAUAUAUUAGCAUGGAAUAAUGAGAUAGGACUUUUUUGCUAUUUUGUUGGUUUGCGCAAAGAGGUAAUGAUUAAUAGGGACAGUUGGGGGUAUUCGUAUUCCAUUGUCAGAGGUGAAAUUCUUGAAUUUUUGGAAGACGAACUACUGCGAAAGCAUUUACCAAGGAUGUUUUCAUUAA